GAGGAUACAACUCAGUCACAGAGUGCGUGCUUAGCAAGCACAAUGUCCUGGGUUCAAUCCCCAGUAUUUUUG
rnacentral:tRNA from 1 species